AAUCACCUUCUUAACAAAUCAUUGUAUUAAAUUUAGAAUUUAACAUACCCCUA
rnacentral:tRNA from 2 species